rnacentral:rRNA from 1 species
GGGUUGUGAGGUUAAGCGACUAAGCGUACACGGUGGAUGCCCUGGCAGUCAGAGGCGAUGAAGGACGUGCUAAUCUGCGAUAAGCGUCGGUGAGGUGAUAUGAACCGUUAUAACCGGCGAUUUCCGAAUGGGGAAACCCAGUGUGUUUCGACACACUAUCAUUAACUGAAUCCAUAGGUUAAUGAGGCGAACCGGGGGAACUGAAACAUCUAAGUACCCCGAGGAAAAGAAAUCAACCGAGAUUCCCCCAGUAGCGGCGAGCGAACGGGGAGGAGCCCAGAGCCUGAAUCAGUGUGUGUGUUAGUGGAAGCGUCUGGAAAGGCGCGCGAUACAGGGUGACAGCCCCGUACACAAAAAUGCACAUAUUGUGAGCUCGAUGAGUAGGGCGGGACACGUGGUAUCCUGUCUGAAUAUGGGGGGACCAUCCUCCAAGGCUAAAUACUCCUGACUGACCGAUAGUGAACCAGUACCGUGAGGGAAAGGCGAAAAGAACCCCGGCGAGGGGAGUGAAAAAGAACCUGAAAC